rnacentral:rRNA from 1 species
UGGGGAAUAUUGGACAAUGGGCGAAAGCCUGAUCCAGCCAUGCCGCGUGUGUGAAGAAGGUCUUCGGAUUGUAAAGCACUUUAAGUUGGGAGGAAGGGCAGUAAGCGAAUACCUUGCUGUUUUGACGUUACCGACAGAAUAAGCACCGGCUAACUCUGUGCCAGCAGCUGCUGUAAUACAGAGGGUGCAAGCGUUACUCGGAAUUACUGGGCGUAAAGCGCGCGUAGGUGGUUCGUUAAGUUGAAUGUGAAAGCCCCGGGCUCAACCUGAGAAAUGCAUCCACAACUGGCGAGCUAGAGUAGAGCAGAGGGUGGUGGAAUUUACUGUGUAGCGGUGAAAUGCGUAGAUAUAGGAAGGAACACCAGUGGCGAAGGCGACCACCUGGGCUAAUACUGACACUGAGGUGCGAAAGCGUGGGGAGCAAACAGG